rnacentral:rRNA from 1 species
GAUCCUGGCUUAGGAUGAACGCUGGCGGCGUGCUUAACACAUGCAAGUCGAGCGAAGCGAUUCAAAUGAAGUUUCGGAUGGAUUUGAAUGACUAGCGGCGGACGGGUGAGUAACGCGUGGGUAACCUGCCUCAUACAGGGGGAUAACAGUUGGAAACGGCUGCUAAUACCGCAUAAGCACACAGUGCCGCAUGGUACGGUGUGAAAAACUCCGGUGGUAUGAGAUGGACCCGCGUCUGAUUAGGUAGUUGGUGAGGUAACGGCCCACCAAGCCGACGAUCAGUAGCCGACCUGAGAGGGUGACCGGCCACAUUGGGACUGAGACACGGCCCAAACUCCUACGGGAGGCAGCAGUGGGGAAUAUUGGACAAUGGGGGAAACCCUGAUCCAAGCGACGCCGCGUGAGUGAAGAAGUAUUUCGGUAUGUAAAGCUCUAUCAGCAGGGAAGAAAAUGACGGUACCUGACUAAGAAGCCCCGGCUAACUACGUGCCAGCCGCUGC